rnacentral:rRNA from 1 species
UCAUUACCGAGUUUACAACUCCCAAACCCCUGUGAACAUACCAAUUGUUGCCUCGGCGGAUCAGCCCGCUCCCGGUAAAACGGGACGGCCCGCCAGAGGACCCCUAAACUCUGUUUCUAUAUGUAACUUCUGAGUAAAACCAUAAAUAAAUCAAAACUUUCAACAACGGAUCUCUUGGUUCUGGCAUCGAUGAAGAACGCAGCAAAAUGCGAUAAGUAAUGUGAAUUGCAGAAUUCAGUGAAUCAUCGAAUCUUUGAACGCACAUUGCGCCCGCCAGUAUUCUGGCGGGCAUGCCUGUUCGAGCGUCAUUUCAACCCUCAAGCCCUCGGGUUUGGUGUUGGGGAUCGGCGAGCCCUUGCGGCAAGCCGGCCCCGAAAUCUAGUGGCGGUCUCGCUGCAGCUUCCAUUGCGUAGUAGUAAAACCCUCGCAACUGGUACGCGGCGCGGCCAAGCCGUUAAACCCCCAACUUCUGAAUGUUGACCUCGGAUCAGGUAGGAAUACCCGCUGAACUUAAGCAUAUCAAUAAGCGGAGGA